rnacentral:rRNA from 1 species
AGAGUUUGAUCAUGGCUCAGGAUGAACGCUAGCUACGAGGCUUAACACAUGCAAGUCGAGGGGCAGCAUGAACUUAGCUUGCUAAGUUUGAUGGCGACCGGCGCACGGGUGAGUAACACGUAUCCAACCUGCCGAUGACUCGGGGAUAGCCUUUCGAAAGAAAGAUUAAUACCCGAUGGCAUAGUUCUUCCUCAUGGUGGAACUAUUAAAGAAUUUCGGUCAUCGAUGGGGAUGCGUUCCAUUUAGG